GAUUUUUUCCAAAGCUGCCGUCAGGUGCGGUGCCAGGUGCCACGUUUAUCCCGGGCCUACCGCCGCGGUGCCAGUGAAGCCGCCUGGGAUUCCGGGCAAAGUGGGGCUGUGGGGGGUUCGGCCGAGACGGAGGGGGCCGGGGUGGCGCGGGCGCCCCCUCGCCGUCCCGCCCGCGGGCGUCACCUAAGCCGCCGUUGCCAUGGGCCCGCAGCAGAUGGCCCGGUUUAGGGUUCCGGGGCGGGCGGCGCGCACGGGAUUAGGUGAAUUAGGGAGCCGGAGCAGUGCCGCCGUCGCCGUCGCAGCGCCAUGGAGGACCCCGCCGACCCUGCCGACCCCGCGCGCAUCCCGCAGCCCGGCAAGUGGGCGCUGGUGCGCAGCCUGAACCAGGCGUUCAAGACCUACGCCGUCCUGCCGGGGGACCAUGUGUGGAUGGACCUGAGAUCGGGGCAGGAGUUCGACGUGCCCAUCGGGGCGGUGGUGAAGCUCUGCGACUCUGGGCAGGUCCAGGUGGUGGAUGAUGAAGACAAUGAACACUGGAUCUCUCCGCAGAACGCAACGCACAUCAAGCCUAUGCACCCCACGUCGGUCCACGGCGUGGAGGACAUGAUCCGCCUGGGGGACCUCAACGAGGCGGGCAUCUUGCGCAACCUGCUUAUCCGCUACCGGGACCACCUCAUCUACACGUAUACGGGCUCCAUCCUGGUGGCUGUGAACCCCUACCAGCUGCUCUCCAUCUACUCGCCAGAGCACAUCCGCCAGUAUACCAACAAGAAGAUUGGGGAGAUGCCCCCCCACAUCUUUGCCAUCGCUGACAACUGCUACUUCAACAUGAAACGCAACAGCCGAGACCAGUGCUGCAUCAUCAGUGGGGAAUCUGGGGCCGGGAAGACGGAGAGCACAAAGCUGAUCCUGCAGUUCCUGGCAGCCAUCAGUGGGCAGCACUCGUGGAUUGAGCAGCAGGUCUUGGAGGCCACCCCCAUUCUGGAAGCAUUUGGGAAUGCCAAGACCAUCCGCAAUGACAACUCAAGCCGUUUCGGAAAGUACAUCGACAUCCACUUCAACAAGCGCGGCGCCAUCGAGGGCGCGAAGAUUGAGCAGUACCUGCUGGAAAAGUCACGUGUCUGUCGCCAGGCCCUGGAUGAAAGGAACUACCACGUGUUCUACUGCAUGCUGGAGGGCAUGAGUGAGGAUCAGAAGAAGAAGCUGGGCUUGGGCCAGGCCUCUGACUACAACUACUUGGCCAUGGGUAACUGCAUAACCUGUGAGGGCCGGGUGGACAGCCAGGAGUACGCCAACAUCCGCUCCGCCAUGAAGGUGCUCAUGUUCACUGACACCGAGAACUGGGAGAUCUCGAAGCUCCUGGCUGCCAUCCUGCACCUGGGCAACCUGCAGUAUGAGGCACGCACAUUUGAAAACCUGGAUGCCUGUGAGGUCCUCUUCUCCCCAUCGCUGGCCACAGCUGCAUCCCUGCUUGAGGUGAACCCCCCAGACCUGAUGAGCUGCCUGACCAGCCGCACCCUCAUCACCCGCGGGGAGACGGUGUCCACCCCACUGAGCAGGGAACAGGCACUGGACGUACGCGACGCCUUCGUAAAGGGGAUCUACGGGCGGCUGUUUGUGUGGAUUGUGGACAAGAUCAACGCAGCAAUUUACAAGCCUCCCUCCCAGGAUGUGAAGAACUCUCGCAGGUCCAUCGGCCUCCUGGACAUCUUUGGGUUCGAGAACUUUGCUGUGAACAGCUUUGAGCAGCUCUGCAUCAACUUCGCCAAUGAGCACCUGCAGCAGUUCUUUGUGCGGCAUGUGUUCAAGCUGGAGCAGGAGGAAUAUGACCUGGAGAGCAUUGACUGGCUGCAUAUCGAGUUCACCGACAACCAGGAUGCCCUGGACAUGAUUGCCAACAAGCCCAUGAACAUCAUCUCCCUCAUCGAUGAGGAGAGCAAGUUCCCCAAGGGCACAGACACCACCAUGUUACACAAGCUGAACUCCCAGCACAAGCUCAACGCCAACUACAUUCCCCCCAAGAACAACCAUGAGACCCAGUUUGGCAUCAACCAUUUCGCAGGCGUCGUCUACUAUGAGACCCAAGGCUUCCUGGAGAAGAACCGAGACACCCUGCAUGGGGACAUUAUCCAGCUGGUCCACUCCUCCAGGAACAAGUUCAUCAAGCAGAUCUUCCAGGCCGAUGUCGCCAUGGGCGCCGAGACCAGGAAGCGCUCGCCCACACUUAGCAGCCAGUUCAAGCGGUCACUGGAGCUGCUGAUGCGCACGCUGGGUGCCUGCCAGCCCUUCUUUGUGCGAUGCAUCAAGCCCAAUGAGUUCAAGAAGCCCAUGCUGUUCGACCGGCACCUGUGCGUGCGCCAGCUGCGGUAUUCAGGAAUGAUGGAGACCAUCCGAAUCCGCCGAGCUGGCUACCCCAUCCGCUACAGCUUCGUAGAGUUUGUGGAGCGGUACCGUGUGCUGCUGCCAGGUGUGAAGCCGGCCUACAAGCAGGGCGACCUCCGCGGGACUUGCCAGCGCAUGGCUGAGGCUGUGCUGGGCACCCACGAUGACUGGCAGAUAGGCAAAACCAAGAUCUUUCUGAAGGACCACCAUGACAUGCUGCUGGAAGUGGAGCGGGACAAAGCCAUCACCGACAGAGUCAUCCUCCUUCAGAAAGUCAUCCGGGGGUUCAAAGACAGGUCUAACUUUUUGAAACUGAAGAACGCUGCCACACUGAUCCAGAGACACUGGCGGGGUCACAACUGUAGGAAGAACUACGGGCUGAUGCGUCUGGGCUUCCUGCGGCUGCAGGCCCUGCACCGCUCCCAGAAGCUGCACCAGCAGUACCGCCUGGCCCGCCAGCGCAUCAUCCAGUUCCAGGCCCGCUGCCGCGCCUAUCUGGUGCGCAAGGCCUUCCGCCACCGCCUCUGGGCUGUGCUCACCGUGCAGGCCUAUGCCCGGGGCAUGAUCGCCCGCAGGCUGCACCAACGCCUCAGGGCCGAGUACCUGCGGCGCCUCGAGGCUGAGAAAAUGAGGCUGGCGGAGGAAGAGAAGCUUCGGAAGGAGAUGAGCGCCAAGAAGGCCAAGGAGGAGGCCGAGCGCAAGCAUCAGGAGCGCCUGGCCCAGCUGGCUCGUGAGGACGCUGAGCGGGAGCUGAAGGAGAAGGAGGCCGCUCGGCGGAAGAAGGAGCUCCUGGAGCAGAUGGAAAGGGCCCGCCACGAGCCUGUCAAUCACUCAGACAUGGUGGACAAGAUGUUUGGCUUCCUGGGGACUUCAGGUGGCCUGCCAGGCCAGGAGGGCCAGGCACCUAGUGGCUUUGAGGACCUGGAGCGAGGGCGGAGGGAGAUGGUGGAGGAGGACCUGGAUGCAGCCCUGCCCCUGCCUGACGAGGAUGAGGAGGACCUCUCUGAGUAUAAAUUUGCCAAGUUCGCUGCCACCUACUUCCAGGGGACAACCACGCACUCCUACACCCGGCGGCCACUCAAACAGCCACUACUCUACCAUGACGACGAGGGUGACCAGCUGGCAGCCCUGGCGGUCUGGAUCACCAUCCUCCGCUUCAUGGGGGACCUCCCUGAGCCCAAGUACCACACAGCCAUGAGUGAUGGCAGUGAGAAGAUCCCUGUGAUGACCAAGAUUUAUGAGACCCUGGGCAAGAAGACGUACAAGAGGGAGCUGCAGGCCCUGCAGGGCGAGGGCGAGGCCCAGCUCCCCGAGGGCCAGAAGAAGAGCAGUGUGAGGCACAAGCUGGUGCAUUUGACUCUGAAAAAGAAGUCCAAGCUCACAGAGGAGGUGACCAAGAGGCUGCAUGACGGGGAGUCCACAGUGCAGGGCAACAGCAUGCUGGAGGACCGGCCCACCUCCAACCUGGAGAAGCUGCACUUCAUCAUCGGCAAUGGCAUCCUGCGGCCAGCACUCCGGGACGAGAUCUACUGCCAGAUCAGCAAGCAGCUGACCCACAACCCCUCCAAGAGCAGCUAUGCCCGGGGCUGGAUUCUCGUGUCUCUCUGCGUGGGCUGUUUCGCCCCCUCCGAGAAGUUUGUCAAGUACCUGCGGAACUUCAUCCACGGGGGCCCGCCCGGCUACGCCCCGUACUGUGAGGAGCGCCUGAGAAGGACCUUUGUCAAUGGGACACGGACACAGCCGCCCAGCUGGCUGGAGCUGCAGGCCACCAAGUCCAAGAAGCCAAUCAUGUUGCCCGUGACAUUCAUGGAUGGGACCACCAAGACCCUGCUGACGGACUCGGCAACCACGGCCAAGGAGCUCUGCAACGCGCUGGCCGACAAGAUCUCUCUCAAGGACCGGUUCGGGUUCUCCCUCUACAUUGCCCUGUUUGACAAGGUGUCCUCCCUGGGCAGCGGCAGUGACCACGUCAUGGACGCCAUCUCCCAGUGCGAGCAGUACGCCAAGGAGCAGGGCGCCCAGGAGCGCAACGCCCCCUGGAGGCUCUUCUUCCGCAAAGAGGUCUUCACGCCCUGGCACAGCCCCUCCGAGGACAACGUGGCCACCAACCUCAUCUACCAGCAGGUGGUGCGAGGAGUCAAGUUUGGGGAGUACAGGUGUGAGAAGGAGGACGACCUGGCUGAGCUGGCCUCCCAGCAGUACUUUGUGGACUAUGGCUCUGAGAUGAUCCUGGAGCGCCUCCUGAACCUCGUGCCCACCUACAUCCCCGACCGCGAGAUCACGCCCCUGAAGACGCUGGAGAAGUGGGCCCAGCUGGCCAUCGCCGCCCACAAGAAGGGGAUUUAUGCCCAGAGGAGAACUGAUGCCCAGAAGGUCAAAGAGGAUGUGGUCAAUUAUGCCCGCUUCAAGUGGCCCUUGCUCUUCUCCAGGUUUUAUGAAGCCUACAAAUUCUCAGGCCCCAGUCUCCCCAAGAAUGACGUCAUCGUGGCCGUCAACUGGACGGGUGUGUACUUUGUGGAUGAGCAGGAGCAGGUACUUCUGGAGCUGUCCUUCCCAGAGAUCAUGGCCGUGUCCAGCAGCAGGGAGUGCCGUGUCUGGCUCUCACUGGGCUGCUCUGAUCUUGGCUGUGCUGCGCCUCACUCAGGCUGGGCAGGACUGACCCCGGCGGGGCCCUGUUCUCCAUGUUGGUCCUGCAGGGGAGCGAAAACGACGGCCCCCAGCUUCACGCUGGCCACCAUCAAGGGGGACGAAUACACCUUCACCUCCAGCAAUGCUGAGGACAUUCGUGACCUGGUGGUCACCUUCCUAGAGGGGCUCCGGAAGAGAUCUAAGUAUGUUGUGGCCCUGCAGGAUAACCCCAACCCCGCAGGUGAGGAGUCAGGCUUCCUCAGCUUUGCCAAGGGAGACCUCAUCAUCCUGGACCAUGACACGGGCGAGCAGGUCAUGAACUCGGGCUGGGCCAACGGCAUCAAUGAGAGGACCAAGCAGCGUGGGGACUUCCCCACCGACAGUGUGUACGUCAUGCCCACUGUCACCAUGCCACCGCGGGACAUUGUGGCCCUGGUCACCAUGACUCCCGACCAGAGGCAGGACGUUGUCCGGCUCUUGCAGCUGCGAACGGCAGAGCCCGAGGUGCGUGCCAAGCCCUACACGCUGGAGGAGUUUUCCUAUGACUACUUCAGGCCCCCACCCAAGCACACGCUGAGCCGUGUCAUGGUGUCCAAGGCCCGAGGCAAGGACCGGCUGUGGAGCCACACGCGGGAACCGCUCAAGCAGGCGCUGCUCAAGAAGCUCCUGGGCAGUGAGGAGCUCUCGCAGGAGGCCUGCCUGGCCUUCAUUGCUGUGCUCAAGUACAUGGGCGACUACCCGUCCAAGAGGACACGCUCCGUCAACGAGCUCACCGACCAGAUCUUUGAGGGUCCCCUGAAAGCCGAGCCCCUGAAGGACGAGGCAUAUGUGCAGAUCCUGAAGCAGCUGACCGACAACCACAUCAGGUACAGCGAGGAGCGGGGUUGGGAGCUGCUCUGGCUGUGCACGGGCCUCUUCCCACCCAGCAACAUCCUCCUGCCCCACGUGCAGCGCUUCCUGCAGUCCCGAAAGCACUGCCCACUCGCCAUCGACUGCCUGCAACGGCUCCAGAAAGCCCUGAGAAACGGGUCCCGGAAGUACCCUCCGCACCUGGUGGAGGUGGAGGCCAUCCAGCACAAGACCACCCAGAUUUUCCACAAGGUCUACUUCCCUGAUGACACUGACGAGGCCUUCGAAGUGGAGUCCAGCACCAAGGCCAAGGACUUCUGCCAGAACAUCGCCACCAGGCUGCUCCUCAAGUCCUCAGAGGGAUUCAGCCUCUUUGUCAAAAUUGCAGACAAGGUCAUCAGCGUUCCUGAGAAUGACUUCUUCUUUGACUUUGUUCGACACUUGACAGACUGGAUAAAGAAAGCUCGGCCCAUCAAGGACGGAAUUGUGCCCUCACUCACCUACCAGGUGUUCUUCAUGAAGAAGCUGUGGACCACCACGGUGCCAGGGAAGGAUCCCAUGGCCGAUUCCAUCUUCCACUAUUACCAGGAGUUGCCCAAGUAUCUCCGAGGCUACCACAAGUGCACGCGGGAGGAGGUGCUGCAGCUGGGGGCGCUGAUCUACAGGGUCAAGUUCGAGGAGGACAAGUCCUACUUCCCCAGCAUCCCCAAGCUGCUGUGGGAGCUGGUGCCCCAGGACCUUAUCCGGCAGGUCUCACCUGAUGACUGGAAGCGGUCCAUCGUCGCCUACUUCAACAAGCACGCAGGGAAGUCCAAGGAGGAGGCCAAGCUGGCCUUCCUGAAGCUCAUCUUCAAGUGGCCCACCUUUGGCUCAGCCUUCUUCGAGGUGAAGCUAGGAUGGGAGGCCUUUUGAGGAGCUUGGCUGUGCGAGGAGAACAGCAAACUACGGAGCCAAACUUCCCUGAGAUCCUCCUAAUUGCCAUCAACAAGUAUGGGGUCAGCCUCAUCGAUCCCAAAACGAAGGAUAUCCUCACCACUCAUCCCUUCACCAAGAUCUCCAACUGGAGCAGCGGCAACACCUACUUCCACAUCACCAUCGGGAACUUGGUGCGCGGGAGCAAACUGCUCUGCGAGACGUCACUGGGCUACAAGAUGGAUGACCUCCUGACUUCCUACAUUAGCCAGAUGCUCACAGCCAUGAGCAAACAGCGGGGCUCCAGGAGCGACCAGCCCCACCAUGCAACUUCCUUUGACUUUCUGUGUACCACUGGGAUAGAGGAAUCAAGAGGACAAUCUAGCUCUCCAUACUUUGAACAACCAAAUGUGCACUGAAUACUCUGAAACCGAAGGGACUGGAUCUGCAGGUGGGAUGAGGGAGACAGACCACUUUUCUAUAUUGCAGUGUGAAUGCUGGGCCCCUGCUCAAGUCUACCCUGAUCACCUCAGGGCAUAAAGCAUGUUUCAUUCUCUGG